rnacentral:rRNA from 1 species
AUUGAACGCUGGCGGCAUGCCUUACACAAGCAAGUCGAACGGUAACAGGUUAAGCUGACGAGUGGCGAACGGGUGAGUAAUACAUCGGAACGUGCCCAGACGUGGGGGAUAGCUCGGCGAAAGCCGGAUUAAUACCGCAUAAGCUCUGAGGAGGAAAGCGGGGGACCGUAAGGCCUCGCGCGUUUGGAGCGGCCGAUGGCAGAUUAGGUAGUUGGUGGGGUAAAGGCUUACCAAGCCUACGAUCUGUAGCUGGUCUGAGAGGACGAGCAGCCACACUGGGAAUAAAACACGGCCAAGACUCCUACGGGAGUCUGAAGUCGGGAAUUUUGGACAAGGGGCGAAAGCCUGAUCCAGAAAUGCCGCGUGCAGGAUGAAGGCCUUCGGGUUGUAAACUGCUUUUGUACGGAACGAAAGGGCGCCUACUAAUACUGGGUGUUGAUGACGGUACCGUAAGAAUAAGCACCGGCUAACUACGUGCCAGCCGCCGCGGUAACAC